rnacentral:lncRNA from 13 species
UGAGGAGGGUUACCAAAGAUGAAAUUCUGUGUUUCAUCUGAAUUUAUUGGAGCUGAGGCCUCCUAUAUGAAGUCUCAGCCUAGACAUCAUUUCCUGGGUCCUUAGGAAGACGAACCAUCCUGUUCCCCUCCUGGUAAGGUGGAGUUGGUACCAACUUAGCCAAUGAGCUGUGACCAGAAGCGACAUGUGUCACCUCCAGGCUAUGGCAUUUCAUUGGUAAUUUAAGAAACCCCUAAGCUAUAUUACCUCUCUCAUUGCUGGUUACUCCAUUAGUGUGGGUUCCUUGACAAACUGCAGUGGACCUGUAGCAUGGGAAGAAACAAGCC